AACAGAGUGAGUACGGUAGUAAACAGAGUGAGUACGGUAGCAAACAGAGUGAGUACGGCAGUGUACUAAACAGAGUGAGUAUGGUAGUGUACUAAACAGAGUGAGUACGGUAGUGUACUAAAUCGAGUGAGUACGGUAGUGUACUAAACAGAGUGAGUACGGUAGCAAACAGAGUGAGUACGGUAGUGAAGCAAACAGAGUGAGCGCAGGGGUAAACAGAGUGAGCACGGCAGUGUGCCAAACAGAGUGAGUACGGUAGUGUGCUAAACAGAGUGAGUACGGUAGUGCCGCAAACAGAGUGAGUACGGUAGUAAAACAGAGUGAGUACGGGGCAGUGUACCAAACAGAGUGAGCACGGUAGUGUGCUAAACAGAGUGAGUACGGUACUGUAGUAAACAGAGUGAGUACGGUAGUGUACUAAACAGAGUGAGUACGGUAGUGUACUAAACAGAGUGAGUACGGUA
rnacentral:lncRNA from 1 species